GGAUGAAACGUUUAAUGAAACAUCGUGCAGCCUAUGUUAGGGUGUGGCCGUAGAGAGUACUUGGACGUACAACUAA
rnacentral:tRNA from 1 species